UGCAGUCGUACGGUGAAGACGCGAGCUUGCUUCUUGGAUCAGUGGCGAACGGGUGAGUAACACGUGAGUAACCUGCCCCCGACUCUGGGAUAAGCACUGGAAACGGUGUCUAAUACCGGAUACGAGCUUCAGCCGCAUGGCUAGGAGUUGGAAAGAAUUUCGGUUGGGGAUGGACUCGCGGCCUAUCAGCUAGUUGGUGAGGUAAUGGCUCACCAAGGCGACGACGGGUAGCCGGCCUGAGAGGGUGACCGGCCACACUGGGACUGAGACACGGCCCAGACUCCUACGGGAGGCAGCAGUGGGGAAUAUUGCACAAUGGGCGCAAGCCUGAUGCAGCAACGCCGCGUGAGGGACGACGGCCUUCGGGUUGUAAACCUCUUUUAGUAGGGAAGAAGCGAAAGUGACGGUACCUGCAGAAAAAGCACCGGCUAACUACGUGCCAGCAGCCGCGGUAAUACGUAGGGUGCAAGCGUUGUCCGGAAUUAUUGGGCGUAAAGAGCUCGUAGGCGGUUUGUCGCGUCUGCUGUGAAAACCCGAGGCUCAACCUCGGGCCUGCAGUGGGUACGGGCAGACUAGAGUGCGGUAGGGGAGAUUGGAAUUCCUGGUGUAGCGGUGGAAUGCGCAGAUAUCAGGAGGAACACCAAUGGCGAAGGCAGAUCUCUGGGCCGUAACUGACGCUGAGGAGCGA
rnacentral:rRNA from 1 species